rnacentral:rRNA from 1 species
GACGAACCGCCCGAACGUUAUUCGGAAUCACUGGGCUUAAAGGGAGCGUAGGCGGGCUGCCAAGUCCGGGGUGAAAUCCUCCAGCUUAACUGGAGAACUGCCUCGGAUACUGGAAGUCUCGAGGAGGGUAGGGGCAAGUGGAACCGUGGGUGGAGCGGUGAAAUGCGUUGAUAUCCAUGGGAACUCCGGUGGCGAAGGCGACUUGCUGGACCCUUCUGACGCUGAGGCUCGAAAGCCAGGGGAGCAAACGGG